rnacentral:rRNA from 1 species
CCUACGGGAGGCAGCAGUAGGGAAUAUUGCUCAAUGGACGAGAGUCUGAACCAGCCAAGUAGCGUGAAGGAUGACUGCCCUAUGGGUUGUAAACUUCUUUUAUAUGGGAAUAAAAUGUUCCACGUGUGGGAUUUUGUAUGUACCAUAUGAAUAAGGAUCGGCUAACUCCGUGCCAGCAGCCGCGGUAAUACGGAGGAUCCGAGCGUUAUCCGGAUUUAUUGGGUUUAAAGGGAGCGUAGGUGGAUUGUUAAGUCAGUUGUGAAAGUUUGCGGCUCAACCGUAAAAUUGCAGUUGAAACUGGCAGUCUUGAGUACAGUAGAGGUGGGCGGAAUUCGUGGUGUAGCGGUGAAAUGCUUAGAUAUCACGAAGAACUCCGAUUGCGAAGGCAGUUCACUGGACUGCAACUGACACUGAGGCUCGAAAGUGUGGGUAUCAAACAGGAUUAGAUACCCCUGUAGUC